rnacentral:rRNA from 1 species
GACAGAGGGGGCAAGCGUUGCUCGGAAUUACUGGGCGUAAAGGGCGCGUAGGCGGGAUGGCAAGUCGGUCGUGAAAUCCCUCGGCUCAACCGAGGAACGUCGAUCGAUACUGCUGUUCUUGAGGAUUGCAGAGGAGACUGGAAUUCCCGGUGUAGCGGUGAAAUGUGUAGAGAUCGGGAGGAACACCGGUGGCGAAGGCGGGUCUCUGGGCCGAUAUUGACGCUGAGGAGCGAAAGCGUGGGGAGCGAACAGG